AACCUUGUGCAGUGGCAAUAUCGCAAACAAUGAGGUCACAACCGAGUUGCGAUUAUUGCUAGUUGAAAACUUUAACCAAUAACUCGCCCUGUGUGAGCCACGCUCACGUUGAGGCAAUUUUUUUAGGCUCGAAAGAGC
rnacentral:snRNA from 11 species